UAAUUGAAGAGUUUGAUCAUGGCUCAGAUUGAACGCUGGCGGCAGGCCUAACACAUGCAAGUCGAGCGGCAGCACAGAGGAACUUGUUCCUUGGGUGGCGAGCGGCGGACGGGUGAGUAAUGCCUGGGAAAUUGCCCG
rnacentral:rRNA from 1 species